UGCAGACAGCCUAUUGUGAGACUUUACCUCGUGACUAAGUGUUAAGCCAAACAGAUUCUAUGGCUUCCACACAAAUGAGUAAGUGAUGAAGUUUAUGUACAUGAACAUUGCCGGUGCUGAUGAUCUUCCAAGAAUCUAAGGCAUUUAAGGAAUGCUAAUGUCAUUUGGGAACUGCAAAUCGAAACCAUAAAUAUAUACCAAUUUACCUCCACUAUGAUGGCUAGAAUGAAAAGGAUAGAUGGUAACAAGUGUUGACAAGGAUGGCAGAAAGUAAAACCCUCAUGCGCUGAUGGUGAAAACGUAAAGUUGUGCAGCCAGUCCAGAAAAAAUUCUGUAAGUUCCUCAAAAAAUUUAACAUAGAGUUAUGUUAUGACCAAGAAAUGAAAA